UACGAAGGGGGCUAGCGUUGCUCGGAAUGACUGGGCGUAAAGGGCGCGUAGGCGGAUUGUACAGUCAGACGUGAAAUUCCUGGGCUCAACCUGGGGGCUGCGUUUGAUACGUAUAGUCUUGAGUGAGGAAGAGGGUUGUGGAAUUCCCAGUGUAGAGGUGAAAUUCGUAGAUAUUGGGAAGAACACCGGUGGCGAAGGCGGCAACCUGGUCCUUUACUGACGCUGAGGCGCGAAAGCGUGGGGAGCAAAC
rnacentral:rRNA from 1 species